rnacentral:rRNA from 1 species
UGAGCAACCUGCCCUUGACUCUGGAAUAACAGCUGGAAACAGCUGCUAAUACCGGAUACGACCUCCGAUGGCAUCAUCUGGAGGUGGAAAGCUCCGACGGUCAAGGAUGGGCUCGCGGCCUAUCAGCUUGUUGGUGAGGUAACGGCUCACCAAGGCUUCGACGGGUAGCCGGCCUGAGAGGGCAACCGGCCACACUGGGACUAAGAUACGGCCCAGACUCCGUAGGGA